GACGAACGCUGGCGGCGUGCUUAACACAUGCAAGUCGAGCGGUAAGGCCCUUUCGGGGGUACACGAGCGGCGAACGGGUGAGUAACACGUGGGUGACCUGCCCUUAGCUCUGGGAUAAGCCUGGGAAACUGGGUCUAAUACCGGAUAUGACCUCAUGACGCAUGUUGUGGGGUGGAAAGCCUUGUGCGGCUAGGGAUGGGCCCGCGGCCUAUCAGCUUGUUGGUGGGGUGAUGGCCUACCAAGGCGACGACGGGUAGCCGGCCUGAGAGGGCGACCGGCCACACUGGGACUGAGACACGGCCCAGACUCCUACGGGAGGCAGCAGUGGGGAAUAUUGGACAAUGGGCGCAAGCCUGAUCCAGCCAUGCCGCGUGAGUGAUGAAGGCCCUAGGGUUGUAAAGCUCUUUUGUGCGGGAAGAUAAUGACGGUAUCGCAAGAAUAAGCCCCGGCUAACUUCGUGACAGCAGCCGACGGU
rnacentral:rRNA from 1 species